AUGCACCAACUGACGCAGCGAGAGGACAAACGUCAUUACCGGCAUUAUUAAUUAAGAUUUAAUUUUAUGAAUUUCAGGCCAAAAGAUGUUUAAGAUGGUUAAUAUCCUUCAUCUCCUAAAUCCGAAUGACGAUUUCUAAGACCUGUUUUAUCAGGGUUGGUAGGUUGCUGAAUAAAUAAGCCAAACAUUGUUAUAAACGGCCCUUUGAUGUCUUUGUUUCGAACAAAGGAAACAAAGGUUAUGAUGAUAUUUGGCUUAUUUAUUCAGCAACUUACCAACCCUGUGUUUUAUACAGGACGUCGAAUUUCGGUCGCGUCGAAUGCAAUUGAAACAAUAGAUAAUGAAGCUUAAUGAGGUUUAUCAUCUCAUUACCUAUUGUCUUAAUUGCAUUCGACGCGACCAAAAUUCGACGUAUAAAACAAGCCUACGUAAGAACUGUUGUCACAUUAUAUACUAGCGUAAUCACAUUGGUAAAACAGAUAUAGGCCAACAUAUAGAAGAUGCACGUAGUACAACAAAUAUGCAUUUUUAUAUCCUCGUACCCAGGGUUUGUUUGUGAGUGUGAGAGAAAAUAUUAGGAUGUUAGGGUUUGUAAUCCAAGUGAGAAUAUAUACAUUUUAAGACCUAACCAGGAACGACUGCGAAAAAUGCAGCACAAGGUCCUCUGGUAGGAAAUGAACCUACUGUAAAAAUUGGUUAAAACACUCAAUAAAUUAUUUACAACCAAUCCUUGGUGGUUUCAACCAAUUUGUUUUUACAGUGUGAAAUAUUAAAUUACAGUCUAGGUACACUUAAAAAAUACAUCUAUUAGACAGAUUUUUUUCACAAAAUGGUCCAUGCAUGCAGCCAUGAUGCGUUUCUAUUUCCUCUUUCAACACACUUUUAAUAAAAGGUUAUAAUAAAAACUAUAUAUAGCAAUAAAAAUAUUGGAAAGUGUAUGUGAAACCAGCCUCCCAGUUUUACGCCAUUAAUGUAAUUUUUAUUUUAUAUCAUUUUUAAGUUUUCCAAUGUAUAUACAUAUAUAAAUAGCUUUUAAUCUUUUUUUAGAAAAACUAGAGGCUGAUGCGCGGUCAGGAUGAAACAUAUCACGACCGUCGAAGUCUACAGACUGGUAGUAGAAAGCUUGUAAAAUUGUAAUAGAUGCAAAAUUCUUUGGUCAAAGAGCGUCUGCAUGUUCACCAAAUAUUUUACCUUUUCAUUAAAAGUUGAAAAAGAAAAAAGAAACGUAUUAUGUCUUCAUGGAUCAUUUUAAAGCUAUCCAACACUUGCUUCAACAGAGAACAUUAGUGAAUAUAGUUCUAGUAAAAAAUUACUGUCUCCUUCUUCAUGGACAUUCUCGCAUCAGCAGUCGUUUAAGACGUGAUUAAAUUAGUUCUGCAUGCUGGUCCUUGAAUAUGUCAUUGGUAUUAAGGGUGGAGGUGGAGCUUUAUCAGGUUUUGAAUAUAAGUACGUUGCCAGUAAAACAGCUGACGCACCAGCCAAAAAUUGUCUAAGAGAGGUGAAAAUACAACAGAUUUAGUGUAAUGUUUCUGAUGUUACUCUGAGUGACGAUCCACACCGGGCCGGCUGAGAAAUUUGCCUGACCACGGUGGGAAUCGAACCCGGAACUGAGCAAUCUAGUUCCCCGAGGCUACGAUCCUCUGGAAGGAACGUG
rnacentral:lncRNA from 1 species